GACGAACGCUGGCGGCGUGCUUAACACAUGCAAGUCGAGCGAGUGGCGGACGGGUGAGUAAUGUCUGGGAAACUGCCCGAUGGAGGGGGAUAACUACUGGAAACGGUAGCUAAUACCGCAUACCAUCGGAUGUGCCCAGAUGGGAUUAGCUAGUAGGUGGGGUAACGGCUCACCUAGGCGACGAUCACUAGCUGGUCUGAGAGGAUGACCAGUCACACUGGGACGUAGACACGGACCAGACUCAUACGGUAGGCAGCAAUGGGGAAUAUUGCACAAGGGGCGCAAGCCUGAUGCAGCCAUGCCGCGUGUAUGAAGAAGGCCUUCGGGUUGUAAAGUACUUUCAGCGAGGAGGCGUUACUCGCAGAAGAAGCACCGGCUAACUCCGUGCCAGCAGCCGCGGUAAUUC
rnacentral:rRNA from 1 species